ensembl:lncRNA
CUCUAUGGCCCCAUAGGACCCCAUAUGACCGCGCAUAUAAGUGUACGACCUUGUAUAGCCCAAUGUGACCCCACAUGACCCCGUACGACCCCACACAACCCCAUAUGGCCCCCAUGUGGCCCCAUACGACCCCACACAACCCCAUAUGGUCCCCAUGUGGCCCCCAUAUGACCCCACACAGCCCCAUAUGACCCCACACAGCCCCACAUGACCCCCCAUGACCCCAUAUGACCCCACACAGCCCCAUACGGCCACCCUAUGACCCCGUACGACCCCACAUGGUGCUGUAUGGUCUCAUACAGCCCAACAUGACCCCCCAUGACCCCAUACGACCGCACACAGCCCCAUAUGGCCCCCAUACGACCCCACACAGCCCCAUAUGGCCCCCACAUGACCCUCCAUGACUCCAUACGACCCCACACAGCCCCAUAUGGCCCCAUAUGACCCCACACAGCCCCAUAUGGCCCCACACAGCCCCAUACGGCCCCCGUAUGACCCCACACAGCCCCUUAUGACCCCACACAGCCCCAUAUGACCCCACACAGCCCCAUAUGGCCCCCAUACGACCCCACACAGCCCCAUACGGCUCCCGUAUGACCCCACACAGCCCCAUAUGGCCCCCAUACGACCCCACAUUCCCCUUAUGGCCCCCAUACGACCCCACACAGCCCCAUAUGACCCCACACAGCCCCAUGUGGCCCCCACAUGGGCCCACAUAACCCCAUAUGACCCCAUACGACCCCACACAGCCCCAUACGGCCCCAUAUGACCCCACACAGCCCCACACAGCCCCAUACGGCCCCCACAUGACCCCACACAGCCCCAUAUGACCCCACACAGCCCCAUACGGCCCCACACAGCCCCUUAUGGCCCCCAUACGACCCCACACAGCCCUAUAUGACCCCAUACGACCCCACACAGCCCCAUACGGCCCCCGUAUGACCCCACACAGCCCCAUAUGACCCCACACAGCCCCAUACGACCCCACAUGAGCCCACAUGACCCCAUACGGCCCCGUAUGACCCCACACAACCCCAUACGGCCCCCAUAUGACCCCACACAGCCCCAUAUGGCCCCCGUAUGACCCCACACAGCCCCGUAUGACCCCACACAGCCCCAUACGGCCCCAUAUGACCCCACACAGCCCCACACGGCCGCCAUAUGACCCCACACAGCCCCAUACGGCCCCAUAUGACCCCACACAGCCCCAUACGACCCCAUAUGACCCCACAUGACCCCAUACGACCCCACACAGCCCCAUACGGCCCCAUAUGACCCCACACAGCCCCACACAGCCCCAUACGGCCCCGUAUGACCCCACACAGCCCCAUACGGCCCCACACAGCCCCAUACGGCCCUGUAUGACCCCACACAGCCCCAUACGGCCCCACACAGCCCCAUACGGCCCUGUAUGACCCCACACAGCCCCAUAUGGCCCCCAUAUGACCCCACACAGCCCCAUAUGGCUCCCAUACGAUCCCGCACAGCCCCAUACGGGCCCCGUAUGACCCCCCACAGCCCCAUAUGGCCCCCAUACGACCCCACACAGCCCCUUAUGGCCCCCAUACGACCCCACAUUCCCCUUAUGGCCCCCAUACGACCCCACACAGCCCCAUAUGACCUCACACAGCCCCAUGUGGCCCCCAUAUGACCCUAUAUGGCCCCCACAUGAGCCCACAUGACCCCAUAUGACCCCAUACGACCCCACACAGCCCCAUACGGCCCCAUAUGACCCCACACAGCCCCACACAGCCCCAUACGGCCCCCUUAUGACCCCACACAGCCCCAUAUGGCCCCGUAUGACCCCACACAGCCCCAUACGGCCCCAUAUGACCCCACACAGCCCCAUACGGCCCCCGUAUGACCCCACACAGCCCCAUAUGACCCCACAUGACCCCAUACGACCCCACACAGCCCCAUACGGCCCCAUAUGACCCCACACAGCCCCAUACGACCCCACACAGCCCCAUACGGCCCCAUAUGACCCCAUACGACCCCACACAGCCCCAUAUGGCCCCCACAUGAGCCCACAUGACCCCACAUGACCCCAUACGACCCCACACAGCCCCAUAUGGCCCCCGUAUGACCCCACACAGCCCCAUAUGGCCCCC